rnacentral:rRNA from 1 species
UACGAAGGGGGCUAGCGUUGUUCGGAAUUACUGGGCGUAAAGGGCGCGUAGGCGGCUCUGAUCGUCGGAUGUGAAAGGCCUGGGCUCAACCUGGGAAUGGCAUCCGAUACGGCGGGGCUGGAGUGUGGGAGAGGUUGGUGGAAUUCCCAGUGUAGAGGUGAAAUUCGUAGAUAUCAGGAGGAAUACCGAUGGCGAAGGCAGGUCUCUGGGCUGACACUGACGCUCAUGCACGAAAGCGUGGGGAGCAAACAGG